GAUGAAGAACGUAGUAAAAUGCGAUAAUUAAUGUGAAUUGCAGAAUUCAGUGAAUCAUCGAGUCUAUGAACGCACAUUGCGCCCCCUGGUAUUCCGGGGGGCAUGCCUGUCCGAGCGUCAUUGCUGCCCUCAAGCACGGCUUGUGUGUUGGGCUUCCGUCCCUGGCAACGGGGACGGGCCCAAAAGGCAGUGGCGGCACCAUGUCUGGUCCUCGAGCGUAUGGGGCUUUGUCACCCGCUCCCGUAGGUCCAGCUGGCAGCUAGCCUCGCAACCAAUCUUUUUAACCAGGUUGACCUCGGAUCAGGUAGGGAUACCCGCUGAACUUAAGCAUAUCAAUAAGCGGAGGA
rnacentral:misc_RNA from 1 species